GUGGGGUGGGAUGCCCGCACCCUCUGGGGCCAUUCUGUGCGCACGCAGGUGCGGAGAGGUGGAGGCCCUACCUGCGCACAAGGUGGUGCCUUCUGCCAGAGAGAGGUGCACUUAGGUAAUUUUGGAGCCUGGACCUAAAGGCCUUUGGAACCCACCCCCACCCACCCAGCAAGUUAAGCAUCCUCCCACACACACACCCUGACACACGCAGUAAUUUUAGCACACGGGUUCUUGAGGUCACAAACAGCAACUGAACUCACAAGAAUGUAAGAACAGAAAACAGAGCACUUGGCACAGGUCAUAAUCAUGCUCAACUGCACGGCGCAGUGCAGUGCAGGCCGAGGAUUUUGGUGCCCCAAGGUGUAUGGAGGCCUUGGACUUUGGCCCCAAAGUCCAGGAGUGAGAGCACCGCUGCCUUCCGCACCAUGUCCAGGAAGAGACACAAAAAGCAUUGGGCCUGGGGUACCCUUGGAAGUCGGCAAAGUGUGCGGAAGUUGGCAAAGUGUGCAGUUCUGCACCAGUGCGGUGUGUGCAUUGGGUUGGGAGGCGGGGGUGCCAGGUUCCUAAUCUCAUUUCAGCCCAUCAUGUAUGUUGGCUUUUUUUUCCAGAUUGUCUACCCCACUCUUUCCCAAGAACGGUCCAAGAUGGCUAACAGUAAGCCAGUAUACAUAUAUACUAGCCGGAUUAAUUAGUCAUGACUAAGCACCAUUGGAAUCCAUAAGACACAUUACUCAUGACUAACUGAAUGGUUUUCAAUUAGGCCUAGUCAUGACUAGCAGUGUGGGUGCUGCCUAUUGUUACAAGCUUGGAUUCUGACAGUGGUAAGUGGCCUCUCAAAAUGGUUGCCUUGAGGGGAAGCCUUGAGCUUUUCCAAAUGGUGGUUUAAUGCAGCUUCAUUACAUUUAGGCUAAGUGCAAGUUCAUACUUGGGGGACCAUUUACAAAGUGCCAUUCAUAGCACAACUGGCAUUGCUUGGCUUUUUUCCUGUUGAUUCGAAGUUACUGCGCAUUACAUGUGUCCUUAAAAAGUAGCAAUUAGGUGCAGUGCUCAGAACAACUUAACCUUAGGCACUUGCUGCCACAGUAAAGCCAACUGUCUAGGAAAGCUCCUGGUUAAAAUCUGAGAUUUGACAGAAGAGCUACCAUACCUUGAUAGAUAGAUUGAUUGUUUAAGUGCUGUCAAGUCGGUGUCAGCUCUUAGCGACCACAUAGAUAGAUUCUCUCCAGGAUGAUCUUCAACUUGGCUUUUAAGGUCUCUCAGUGGUGCAUUCAUUGCUGUCAUGAUCAAGUCCAUCCACCUUGCUGCUGGUCGCCCUCUUCUCUUUCCUUCAGCUUUCCCAAGCAUUAUGGACUUCUCAAGGGAGCUGGGGUUUUGCAUAAUGUGUCCUGAUAGUCUGAUAGUUUGAGCCUGGUCAUUUGUGCCUCAAGUGAAAAUUCUGGAUUGAUUUGUUCUAUGAUCCAUUUGUUUGUUUUCCUGGCUGUUCAUGGUAUCCACAAAAGUCUCCAGCACCAAAGUUCAAAUGCCUCAAUACUUUUUCUAUCUUGCUUCUUCAAAGUCCAGCUUUCACAUCCAUAGUGUGUCAAGGGGAAAACCAUGGUCUGAACAACACUAAUCUUUGUCAGUAUAGACAUGUCACAGCAUCUAUAUAUCCUUUCCAAGGCCUUCAUUGCAACCCUACCAAGUGCUAGUCUGCAACGUAUUUCUUGACUGCUGGAUCCUUUACUGUUCACAGUCGAGCCUAAAAGGCAGAAGCUAUCCACCACUUCAAUGUCUUCAUUAUCAGUUCUGAGGCUGUCUUUUACCUGCUGUCAUUAGUUUAGUCUUCUUUACCUUUAGUUGUAGUCCCAUUUUUUCACUGUGCUCCUUGACUUUCAUUACUAGAGCUUGCAGAUCCUCAGCAUUCUCAGCUAUCAGAGUGGUGUCAUCAGCGUAGCACAGGUUAUUGAUGUUUCUUCCUCCAACUUUAAAACGAUGCUCAUCUCCUUCCAAUCCAGCUUUUCCCAGUACAUGUUCAGCAUAUAAAUUGAGUUAAUAAGGAGAAAAUAUACAGCCUUGUCUUACUCCUUUGUUAAUCUGGAACCAGUCUGUUUCACCAUGUUACUUCUGGACUGUGGCUUCCUAAGUUUCUCAUGAGAACAAUGGAAUGUUCUUGUAUGCCCACUUUCCUAAGGACAUUCCACAACUUGACAUGGUUGACACAAUCGAAGACUUCUCUGUAGUCAAUAAAGCACAUAUUGACUUCUUUUUAGUAUUCUUUGGCUUUCUCGGCUUUCUCAGUUAUCCAUUGUGCAUCAGCAAUUAUGUCUCUUGUUCCACAGCCUUUUCUGAAACCAGCUUGAACAUCCGGCAUUUCCUUUUCCACGUAGGGCUCUAAUCUGCGUUGGAUGAUCCUGAGCAUUACUUUGCUAGCAUGUGAAAUUAAGGAUAUUGUGCAAUGGUUUGUGCAAUCUGUUGAGUUUCCUUUCCUUGGUAUGGGUAUGUUGACUGACCUCUUCCAAUCUAUUGGCCAUUGUGUCAUUCUCCAAAUUUGGUGGCAUAGUUUGGUUAGAGCAGGCAUCCUCAAACUGCGGCCCUCCAGAUGUUGCUGAACUACAACUUCCAGCAUACCCAGCCACAAAAAAUUGUGUCUAGGGAUUCUGGGAGUUGUAGUUCAGCAACAUCUGGAGGGCCGCAGUUUGGGGAUGCCUGGGUUUGAGCCUUGACUGAUUCUUCUUCUGUUGCCUGCCAUAUUUCUGUAGCUAUUCCAUCAAUCCCUGUAGCCUUCCAACUUGGUAAUUACCGGAGUGCUGAUCUAACCAUCUUUCGGUACUAGAGGUUCUUGCAAGUAGGGAAUAUCUUCUAGAGUAUCUUGGAUGUUGACAUCCCUGCUGUACAGAUUUUCAGUAUACUCCUUCCAUCUCUGUUUGAUCUCUGAAUCAGUUACUAUCUGUCCUUUGGCAUUCCUUCACUUACCAAUUCAAGGUUGGAACCUCCUUCUGAGUUCAGAGUUCUUUUGGAAAACUUUCCUUUUUUUUUCCUGUGUCUGUUUCCUUCCUCAAGGUCUUCACAGAUGUCACUGUAAAACUGUUCCUUGUCUCUUCUGACAGCUUUCUGAAAUUCCCUAUUAAGUUCCUUCCCAGGGUCUUUAUCUUUCUUGACUUUGGCUUCUCUCCUCUUGGCAAUUUCCACCAUUUGUUCUGACAUCCAUUUUGCUUUCUUCUGUUUCUUGGUCUUUGACAGUUUCUUUUCACAUUCAGCCUUAACAACUUACUUAAUUUCAUUACAGAGUUCCUUUGGUUCCCUAUCAGUGAGGUUCAGAACUUCAAAGUGGUUCCUAAUGUUCUCCUUGAAAAUGGUGGGUACAUUCUCAAAAUCAUAUCGUGGAAGCUGGAUAGCUUUGUUUUUCCAAUUUAGCUUGACUUGGAACUUGCACAUGAGCAGUUCAUGAUCUUUUCUACUAUCAGCCCCCCGGCCACAUCUUUGCUGUUAUAACUGAGCUCUUCCAUGUGCUUUGGUUGUUUGAAGAAUGUGUUAGCAAUGAAGAGAUCAUUGGCUUGACAGAAACUAAUAAGUUGUUCUCCUGCUCCAUUUCUGUUUCCUAGGCCAUACAGUCCGACGGCGUUUUCCUCCUUGCCACUUCCAACUUUGGCAUUCCAGUCUCCAGCCAGCAGCAGCGCAUCAUGCUUGCAUGUUCUGUCGAUUUCAGAAUGAACUUGAGCAUAACACUCAUCAACUUCCUCUUCUGCAUCAGUCGUUGGGGCAUAGACUUGAAGAACUGUCAUGUUAAAGGGUUGUCCACAAAAUCUAAUUGAUAUUGGUCACUGACUGCAUUGUACUCAAGUACUGGUGUUGCUAUAUCCUUCCUGACUAUGAAAGCAACACCGUUCCGUCUUUGUUUUUCAUGUCCUGAAUAAUAAAGAGUAUGACUUUCUGA